GACGAACGCUGGCGGCGUGCCUAAUACAUGCAAGUCGAGCGGAUGGAUGGAAGCUCGCUUCCAGAAGUCAGCGGCGGACGGGUGAGUAACACGUGGGCAACCUGCCCCUAAGAUCGGGAUAACUUCGGGAAACCGGUGCUAAUACCGGAUAUGAUUUUCUUUCACAUGAGAGGACAUGGAAAGACGGUUUCGGCUGUCACUUAGGGAUGGACCCGCGGCGCAUUAGCUAGUUGGUGAGGUAACGGCCCACCAAGGCGACUAUGCGUACCCGACCUGAAAGGGUGGUCGGCCACACUGGGACUGAGACACGGCCCGGACUCCUACGGGAGGCAGCAGUAGGGAAUCUUCCGCAAUGGACGAAAGUCUGACGGAGCAACGCCGCGUGAGUGAAGAAGGUUUUCGGAUCGUAGAACUCUGUUGUCAGGGAAGAACAAGUACAAUAGUCACUGGUGGUACCUUGACGGUACCUGACCAGAAAGCCACGGCUAACUACGUGCCAGCCGCCGCUGUAA
rnacentral:rRNA from 1 species